rnacentral:tRNA from 1 species
AAAAAGGAAGCAUGUUUGGAAGGUGCGGCUGGAUCACCUCCUUUCUAAGGAAAAAGGAAGCACGUUUAGCGUCUUAUUUAGUUUUGAGAGGUCUUGUGGGGCCUUAGCUCAGCUGGGAGAGCGCCUGCUUUGCACGCAGGAGGUCAGCGGUUCGAUCCCGCUAGGCUCCAUUAAAACAGGAUACUAACAGACGG